rnacentral:rRNA from 1 species
GUGCCACCGCGGUAAUACAGAGGUCUCAAGCGUUGUUCGGAUUCAUUGGGCGUAAAGGGUGCGUAGGCGGCGCGGUAAGUCGGGUGUGAAAUCUCGGAGCUUAACUCCGAAACUGCAUUCGAUACUGCCGUGCUUGAGGACUGGAGAGGAGACUGGAAUUUACGGUGUAGCGGUGAAAUGCGUAGAUAUCGUAAGGAAGACCAGUGGCGAAGGCGGGUCUCUGGACAGUUCCUGACGCUGAGGCACGAAGGUCAGGGGGGCAAACGGG